GCUGGGUGUGGUGGCUCACACCUGUAAUCCCAGCACUUUGGGAGGCCGAGGUGGGCGGAUCACCUGAGGUCAGGAGUUCGAGACCAGCCUGGCCAACAUGGUGAAAUCCCAUCUCUA
rnacentral:SRP_RNA from 2 species